rnacentral:rRNA from 1 species
CCUACGGGAGGCAGCAGUGGGGGAUAUUGCGCAAUGGGGGCAACCCUGACGCAGCAACGCCGCGUGAAGGAUGAAGGUUUUCGGAUUGUAAACUUCUUUUAUUAAGGACGAAUUUUGACGGUACUUAAUGAAUAAGCUCCGGCUAACUACGUGCCAGCAGCCGCGGUAAU